rnacentral:rRNA from 1 species
GAUGAACGCUGGCGGCGUGCCUAAUACAUGCAAGUCGAGCGAACAGACCAGGAGCUUGCUCCUCUGACGUUAGCUGCGGACGUGUGAGUAACACGUGUAUAACCUACCUAUAAGACUGGGAUAACUUCGGGAAACCGGCUCUUAUACCGGAUAAUAUAUUGCACCGCAUUGUUCAAUAGUGAAAGACGGUUUUGCUGUCACUUAUAGAUGGUUCCGCGCCGCAUUAUCUAGUUGGUAAGGAAACGGCUUACCAAGGCAACGAUGCGUAGCCGACCUGAGAGAGUGAUCGGCCACACGGGAACGGAGACAGGGUCCAGACUCCUACGGGAGGCAGCAGUAGGGAAUCUUACGCAAUGGGCGAAAGCCUGACGGAGCAACACCGAGUGAGGGAUGAAGGUGUUCGGAUCGGAAAGCUCUGUUAUUAGGGAAGAACAAAUGUGUAAGUAACUAUGCAGGUAUUGACGGUACCUAAUCAGAAAGCCACGGCUAACUACGUG